rnacentral:lncRNA from 1 species
AGAGGCACAACAGGAACACCUUGAUUUUGUUACCUGAGGGUCCUGGAUGCGGAUGUUGCUUGGCUGAACUGGCACUCUGAAAGUUCUGCUUCUGCAUCUUCAGAAAAAGGAUGAACAGGAGUUCCCGUCGGGCGCAGUGGUUAACGAAUCCGACUAGGGCGCACGCUGGAUCCUUGACCCACUGAGCGAGGCCAGGAAUCGAACCCUCCUCAGAUACAUUUCUGCUGUGCCACAAUCGGAACUCCUAAAUCUCAGUUUUUUAGUGAGCCCUGAGUCCGUGGGCUGUGACCUUCAGAAUUGAUUUAGCCUUUUUGCUCUUCCUCUUCUGUGAGACAGGAAGGUGAGAGGGCCUGGAGGUGACUAAUUCCCUUUCCUCGGGUCAGAGGAGGCCCUGGCAGGGCAGUUUCCCUUGGAGAACAGGGCUUGGAGCUGUUUCCAAAGUUACUCUCCCUUCCCCUGCCCAAAACACGAGGGGAUUUUUCUGCUCUUCAUUUGUGAACCUUCCUGCGAGGGGCUCCGUGAAUCUGGACCAGGAGUUUUUAAUCCUCAAGCUAGUCCUCACUCAGUGCUGGAAAUUUGUCAAAGUUAGCAUUUAAGUGUCCCUACUGGUUACCGGCUUCUGAAGCUUUGCUUCGGGUCAGCUGACCUUGGCUGUGGCUCUUAGUUAUUUUCACAUUUCUCCAGGUUUUGGAGGUGGCGUGACCUCAGUUUUCUGAUGAACCUAAGAAAAGUCAUUGAUUUCCGGUUUUAAGCUUUUUUCUUGCUGUGAACAUGAGAGUGAUGAUUUCCAAGCUCUUUAUGAGUCAGGGCUGAGAGUGGACGGCUGCCUAUGUCUUUGCUUAAACUCACCUCUAGUUGAGUCCGAUGAAUGCUGAGGAUUGAAAACCCCUGAUUUAGCCCGAUUUCUUCAUUUCACAGAUAAGAACGGUGAAGUCCAGUGAGGGAAAUGACUAUUCUAAGAUCAUACAGAAUCAAAACCUAGACUAGACGCUGGGUCUCUUGGCCAGAUCAUCUUCAUUACUGUUUUUUUUUUUGGGUUUACAUAUAAUUACCUUCAAAGGGAUUAAUCAUAUUUCAUAUUAUAGGCUGUGGAAAAUAUCUUUAUUUUGAUGGUUCACUGAUUUAAAUCCUUGAUUUUACCUCAGAUUUAUUCUGGGAUCUGAUUAUAAUUGUACACAUUGUCAUAGCUAUCUUGAAUCUCCCCUGAAAUGUUCCUUUUGAUAUAAAUAUCAAACCAUCACAGAAGUGAGCUCUUAAUGCAGCGUGGCUGCAAGUAAAAUAGUACCUAAAAGAAAACUUCAGAGCGCCUCCUUCAGUCUCGUGGAAAGUUUAAUUGAAUCGUUUAUAGCAAUGACCGCUGCGUCUGUCCCUUCUCUCCCCACUCCUCGCCAUCAUUUCAGUUCCCUGAUUUUAGUGUAGAGCGGGGAGCAGCUGAAUCUUCUCUCCAAACCAGCCCCUCCUGUGCUUGCACACAUGAUGUGCUUCUAAAUUUCUGUCUAGAGAAGGCUGAGACCACUUGUUUUAGAGCAAAAAUUGGCAGUCUCCUUCUGUAAAGGGCCAGAGAGUUAACAUUUUAGCCUUUGCAGGCCAUGGGAUCUCUGUUUCACCUGCGCAACACCACCCAUGUAAUGAGAAAGCAGCCAAUCAUAAGCAGUAUGUAAGCAAAUGGACAUAACUGUGUUCUAAUAAAACUUUAUUUACAAAAACAGGCUGCUAGCCUCUGUUGUAGAGCUUAUAGAAAUCCUGCGUUCGCUUUUAUGUCCCAAAGGAUGGAGCCCCUAGAUGAUUUUUAUUAGGUUGCUUUCACAAUAGCGGUAUUUUGUUGUGGAACAUUGCAUCUUAGUUUUGGGGGUUUUUUAAGACAUGCAUUUUGGUGAUGAGAUAGAGUUUUGUUUUUCUUUAUAUAAGGUUUGAGCAAGGUGAGACCUUUCAGUCUUAUGUGAAUCUAGAUUAACACGAGGAAAAAUUAAAAAAAAAAACAACAAAAAACAAACGUGGUUAUUUAUUGUAACAGCUGAGGCCGUCUGUGCUUCUAGUGGUGGAUAUGGUAAAACAUGUCUUUUAUUAAGUUCUUAAUAAUAGAAAGUCUCAGGAUAUGUUGUGUUAUAGGUACCUAUAGAGUUAUUAGGUGAGAAGGAUGGUUUUAAUUUACUUUGAAUUCUUGGUAGGUUGCUUAUUGCAUGCUUAGAAAAAGUGGAUAUUGGUGUUUGCGCUUUGCAACUAACACAGAUUUUGGUUGCCAUAGCUUUCCAUUAGCUCCUUAAGAUCCCUAUAGGGCUCUGGUUGCCUGGCUGGAGAGAAGGCAGGAAACCCGUAGGAGCUGAGAGGACAGAUAACAAGUUGAGAAGUAGCUCUAGGGAGCCCUGGCUGUAGGGCCAAGGGCCAACCAAGGUUUUUAUGUUUUGUCAAAGGUAUGAACUUGAAGUUUUGCCAGAUAGAAUUCCUGCUAGCUAGCUGGGUUAAUUAAUAUAUGCUGCAAGUCAUCAUUGUUUUAGAGAACUGCAAUUUAAGUUAAUUAAAAUUAAAAAAAAUACAAACUAUAAAAUUCUGUUUUGGGUGCUUUGCAGUCCUUUGGGGAGUACUGCUGACCUUUAAUAAUGGUAGUCUAGGAAGUUCCCGUGGUGGCUAAGCUGAUUAAGAAUCCGACUAGUAUCCAUGAGGAUGCAGGUUCGAUCCCUGGCCUUGCUCAGUGGGUUAAAGGGUCCAGCUUUGCCACGAUCUGUGUAGGUCGCAGACAUGCUUGGUCUGGCGUUGCUGUGGCUAUGGUGUAGGCUGACAGAUGCAGCUCCUGUUGGACCCCUAGCCUGGGAACCUACAUAUGUUGCUGGUGGGGCCCUAAAAAGACAAAAAUAAAAUAAAAUGGCAGUCUCCGGUGUUAGGACCCUGAAAGCUUGCUGAUUAAUUAGAAAGGUCUUAUGAUUAGAGUUUAUUAUAGGUUGAAAAGAAUAUCGCAAAGAGACUCUAGAGGGCAGUGUAACUCAGCGUGUCCAUGCCUCUGACACAUGUAUCCUGAACUCUUUCUCCACUACACGGUGUCCCAAUUUGGCAGAAUGUGGGUUUGGAAAGAAAUGCUCUGGUUUGGCUUAGAGAGGUUUCUUAGAUAAUAGAUCAUAAUUAUUGGCCCUAGGGAAUAUCCAUGCUUGGUUUAAAACAUAUUGCCUGAGAAAACCUGGAAUUCUUUUACUGAUUCAAAUAAAUUGAAUUGGGUUUGCUUUUCAGGAGUUUGUGGAACAUUAAGCAAAAGGAAUGGUAUAUUUUUGUGUUUUCACAUAUUUUAGGAUAGGAAGUAAUGUACCUUCUAUUAGAGAAUUCAAAACAGUGGGAAGAGUUUGACUUAUUUUGACACAUUUUUAAACAUCUCUUGAAAGUGGUAAGGUUGAAACCGGAUGAUUGAUUUGCUGAAUGUCUGAAUCAACGCUGAACUUUUCAAAAGUUUUCAAAUGCUCGUGUUUUGCAAAAUCUGAAGGCUAGUCAUUGUUUUCUAAUUUUUAAGAAAUUUCUGUAUAUUUUUGGGAAAUCUGUAUUUUUUUUUAACUCAUUUUACACAUAAGUCAUCAAAUGGGGUUUGGAAAAAACUGUUUUGAAGUCUUAGGAACUUUUGGAUCAUUUAAAUUUUUUCUCCCUUAAAAGUGAAAACUGAGGGUUACAAAGAACAAACUAAUGAAUCUCCUAGAAUUUUUACAUUCAGAAUUUUAAACUAUUAAUUAUAGUUUUAGGGAAAAUAUUUUGUGACUGCAUUUCCUGUCGUUGCUACACUGUGGAUUAGUAUAUCCAGUGGUUAAGCAUGACAGAUGUACAUUUGGGAUUUUUGAGCUUUUUGUUUUAACUUUGACCCAUUAGAAUGACCUUAAAGUGUACUUUUUUAUCUGAUUUAGGAUAAUUCAAGUUUUCCAUUUAUGGUUGAAAUGAAUGUGUUUGAUAAGGCACUUCAAAUUCAAAUACUGCAGAUUUAAGAAACAUACCAUUAUGGGGAUUCUUUUUCUAGUUUUGUUCACAUUGGUUUAUAGAUACCAACUAAAGUAUCUUCUUUCUCUUUUGUCUUGUCUAGUUAUUUAUCUUCCCAUUCCUCUCUACCAUAGGUUGGUUAAAAUCAUUAUUUUGAUCUAGUUCUUUGGACAGAAACAUCAGGAAUUAUUUAGACAAUAGAUAGUAAGUGAUCCCCGUGUUUUUAGUAGUGUUAAAACUGAAAUGCGUUUGAGAAACAGUUGUGAGCAUUCUGUAUUAGUUUCGAUAACUGGUAUUGGGUAUUAUUAGUAUCACCUUUGUGUGCAUCUUUUUUCCAUUUUUUUCAUGGGGAAUAAUAUAUCUAUCUAUGUGUAAAAUACAUUACACAUCAGAGCUUUCACCUUAAGUUGUGUAUUUUAAAAACUUAUAAGAAUUGGGAAUUCCUGUCGUGGCUAGGAGUUAACGAAUCUACUAGCGUCCAUGAGGAUGCAGGUUCGAUCCCUGGCCUUGCUCAGUGGAUUAAGGAUCUGGCAUUGCCGUGAGCUGUGGUAUAGGUCACAGAUGCAGCUCAGAUCCUGUGUUGCUAUGGCUGUGGUGUAGGCCAGCAGCUACAGCUCCAA